GAUACAGCCUUUUGAAGUGGUGUUAUUCUGUGUGGGUGGAUGCUUGAAGCCUUUUGAAGUGGAUGAAAAUCACAAUUUCUUUUACCUGUAAGAGUUUUCUCAGACACAAGGAACCGUUUGUUGAUCCAUUUAAAAAAUGCUAGUGCCCCACAAGCUUCACAACAUGGACAGUUCAAAUAAACUGGAAAGAUGGUGCUUUUCUUACUGCAGCAGAAGUUCUACUUGGCAAUGGGCUUAUGUCACCAGGAGUGUGUGAAGACUGCAGAGUUCAGACCUCUAUGUGCAAAUGGGACUCCUCACUACUACAGCAGCACAAUAUGGGGUGUUUUAGCAAUUCCAGCAUUUAAUUACAUAAAAAAGAAACCUAAUGGAUCAAUGUGCAGAAAAUGACACGCUGAGCCAAGAUGCUGCUGAGUGUGGACAAAUAUUUGGAGAUAAACAGAAGAAACUGGAUGCGUUCAGAAGAAUGUCACCUUCUUAAGCCUGGAAUGUUUUCUUUGCAACAUUUUUAGAGCAGUGGGAUUUCCGUUCAGCAGGGUCUGAGAUAGGAUUGAUGUGAACUCUUGUGGUGUUAAGGUCAGAAUUGUCCGCUUCUUAGUUCUGCCUUUGAGCUGGGUAUCUUGAAAGCCUUGCCUCAUCAGUCUUGUGGCACUCUGCUUGUCAGGAUUCCAGGUCAUGUCACUGUGCAGCAAACCUGCUAAGCAAGCUCUCUUGGGAAUGGGAAAUUUUGCAGAGAUAUAGGAUUGGAUAGCUCAACUAGAAUUUCCAUGCUUUGUGCUUCCCAUGCCAGGAAUCAGAUGAGAUUGGGUUUCAUGUGGGUUUGGCCUUUUCUCUGUAGAAUGAGCCUUGGAGGUCUCAGAGGCAGGAUUUAAGGAAUGGCAAACCUGGGAAGAGUUUCCAAGGACACUGAUUCUGGGACUGUAUGCCUAAAGGG